GUUUGUUCUCUCAAGAAGAGCACAUUAAAGAGUAAUGGACGUUAGAGGAGGGGCAUGGAGGAGAAUGAGCAAGGGAAGCAGACAGAAUGCAUGGCCAAGUAAAGAUGAUGUUAAUCUUUUAUAAUUUUCUCUGCUUUCUACUCUCAGAAUGGGUACCUCCAAGCUGACUCACCCAUUCUUCGUUAGUCCUGAGUUUGAGAUUCACUGUUUGUGUGUGCAGGAUAGAGACUGUAAUGGAUGCCCUACAAGCUGAUUCCAUGUAGUCUCACUUGGAAAUGAACCUCGCGAUCUAGCCUUUUUAUUGGUAGGAUAGACAUUGUAAUGGAUCCCCCUAACCUGAUGUAUACAUUCUUCCUUGGUUGUGAUAUUCCUGCUCUGAUCGUUGUAGUCCUAAGAUAGACACAGUUGUGUGUAGUUAGAGUUCAUGCCUUGGUUGUGGUUACUUAGAAAGACUGCGCUCACUAUUGUCAA